AUAUAGUGGAUAGACGUGUCCAAUAUGAUAGACGACCAAACAGGCUAUAGAACAAGAUAUUUAUAGCUUCACAACCCUUUAUCCCUUUAAAACCCUAACCUUCGAAAAAUUUCCUCUUUUCUCUCUAAGCUCUGUAUUUUCAUCAAAUCUUCUAAGGAAAAAUGAGUCGUUCAAGUAGGACAAUUUAUGUUGGCAAUCUUCCUGGUGAUAUUCGCGAGCGAGAAGUGGAGGAUUUGUUUUACAAGUAUGGUCCGAUAGCACAUAUUGAUCUGAAAAUUCCACCAAGACCCCCUGGUUAUGCUUUCGUUGAGUUUGAAGAGGCUCGCGAUGCUGAUGAUGCUAUUCGUGGGCGUGAUGGCUAUGAUUUUGAUGGGCAUCGCUUGAGGGUUGAACUUGCACAUGGUGGGCGUGGUAACUCAUCGGCAAAUGAUCGUUAUAGUGGCCGUAAUGAUAGUGGUCGUACUAAUCACAAAUUUGGAGCGCCCAAACGUACAGAGUAUCGAGUUUUAGUUACCGGAUUGCCCCAUUCAGCAUCCUGGCAGGAUCUCAAGGAUCACAUGCGUCGAGCUGGGGAUGUUUGCUUCUCACAAGUUUUCCGUGAGGGGAGUGGGACAACUGGGAUUGUGGAUUAUACCAACUAUGACGACAUGAAAUAUGCUAUUAAAAAACUCGAUGAAUCUGAAUUUCGAAAUGCUUUUUCUCGUUCGACAAUUCGAGUGAAGGAACAUGAUUCUAGAAGCCGAAGCCGCAGCCGUUCUUACUCACGAGGAAAGAGUGGUAGCCGUAGCCGCAGUCGUAGCCGGAGCAGAAGCAAAUCUCCCAAAGCUAAAUCUUCAAAGCGUGCAAGAUCUCUUUCUAGAUCUGUGUCUUCUCAGCCCCGUUCUGGGUUAAAAGGACGCUCGGUGUCGAGAUAUUGGAUAUAUGCGAGGAUCUUGGAUUGCAUAUUAGGAUCUUGAGUGGAUAUGGUCUUGCCUACAACAAAUUUUGUUGUGGAGGUAUGCUGUUUUCUAGAUGGCAACUUCGGAAUCUUUUAUGGUGUCUCUCCUCUGAUGAGCAUCAUGAAUGUCCAUCGAUGCUAGAUUGGGAACGAGAAGAUCAUGGAUUUUGAUGGUCAAGCUGGACUGGCAAUACUAACUUCAAUUUGAAUUUGGGAUCACCAUCUGCCAAGCUAAUAAGACACUAAUGGGUUCUUUCGCUUCCUGUUAAUUGGUUUUCAAACAGUACAAACUUAAAUUAUUGACUAGAACUCUUGCUUAACUAGGUAACUUGCAUGGCUUCAUACAUUUCAUUGUUUUCUCUUUGGGAUGGUGAAAUGAUUACGGGUUUCUGCAUAUCUACUUUGAUUAUGGCCACUCUGACGUGGAAAUGGCAUCAAGGCAACUUUGGAUGAAAGUUGUUAAGCAGAAGGUUGGAUAUUUAAAUUGAGUUGUUUCUGGACAUUUUGCAGAUCUCCAUCAAGAUCCAGAUCCCCAGUACCAUCUCGCCCCAAACGUGCGAGUAUAAGCCCAAAACCGCGUGAUUCCAAGAGAAGCCGGAGCUUGAGUAAAAGCCCAAAACCGCGCGAUUCCAGGAGAAGCAAGAGCGUGAGUAAAAGCCCAGAACCACGUGAUUCCA